rnacentral:rRNA from 1 species
CCCUUAGAUGUUCUGGGCCGCACGCGCGCUACACUGAUGCAUGCAACGAGUUCUAUCCUUGGCCGGAAGGCCUGGGUAAUCUGUGAACGUGCAUCGUGAUAGGGAUAGAUUAUUGCAAUUAUUAAUCUUGAACGAGGAAUUCCUAGUAAACGCAAGUCAUCAGCUUGCAUUGAUUACGUCCCUGCCCUUUGUACACACCGCCCGUCGCACCUACCGAUCGAAGGUAAUGAUGAGCCCUCAGGAUUGUGGCCUCGUCGCGUCAGCGUCUUGGCUGCGAGAAUCUGUGCAAAUCCCUACCUUUAGAGGAAGGUGAAGUCGUNACA